rnacentral:rRNA from 1 species
GAUGAUCGCUGGCGGCGUGCCUAAUACAUGCAUGUCUAGCGAACGGACGUGAAGCUUGCUUCUCUGAUGUUAGCGGCGGACGGGUGAGUAAAACGUGGAUAACCUACCUAUAAGACUGGGAUAACUUCGGGAAAGCUGAGCUAUUACCUGAUAAUAUUUUGAACCUCAUGGUUCAAAAGUAAAAUACGGUCUUGCUGUCACUUAUAGAUGGAUCCGAGCUGCAUUAGCUAGUUGGUAAGGUAACGGCUUACCAAGGCAACGAUGCAUAGCCGACCUGAGAGGGUGAUCGGCCACACUGGAACUGAGACACGGUCCAGACUCCUACGGGAGGCAGCAGUAGGGCAUCUUCCGCACUGGGCGAAAGCCUGACGGAGCAACGCCGCGUGAGUGAUGAAGGUCUUCGGAUCGUAAAACUCUGUUAUUAGGGAAGAACAUAUGUGUAAGUAACUGUGCACAUCUUGACGGUACCUAAUCAGAAAGCCACGGCUAACUACGUG